rnacentral:lncRNA from 1 species
GCUUGGCGUUGAGGAAGACGUGUGAGCAAUGCUCGUAGAUUGGGUUACCGUCUUCUGACUCUUCGUGCGGGUGGAAGCCUCGCUGCUGGCAGUUACGGAUCACUGAUACUCCUGAUGGAUCCGACAGAUGGAAUAUUCCGUGAGGUGUUGUUUCGUCUGUUGAAGCCAUUACGAUUGCAACUGCCUCCGGUAGCAUUAUCUGGCCAGAUUAAAGAUAUGUAUGUAGUGGACCAUGUGGUUAACAAAUGUAUAUAAAAGUGAUCCACUUACAGAUAAUUGAAAGGGAAAGUUUUUGUUGUACCUGAUACGAGUAGUGUGUGUGAAGAUCAACUGAUGACAUGAAGCAAGUUUGUGUAGGGUGUGUCUGUAACCAAAAAUGUAGUUACACACAAUUAAAGAUAAACUCGACAAAACAAAAACAACAAGUAUCUUCAAACAUGAUAACCAUAAAAAGAAAAGACGAGCAACAUUGGCCGUUGAGUCCAUCAGAAUGGCAAUUUGUUUUUGGUAACAAGGACCCAAACAUCAUCAAAAUUAUUAUGGUUGCAGAAAAGAUAGAGGCAAAGCAAGAAAACCAACGACAUAUAUGGUGCUUGGCUUCCUAGUAAACAUAAUUACUGACAAUUACACUAAAAGGAGAAUACUCACAGCUUCUGGAACUGCUGAUCAAUCGGCUUACUGUUAUACAACCCGGAUGUUUGAGACGUUGUCCGUAAGGCCGGCUACAUCCAAGGAAGGAAAAAAAAAAAGCAAGAAAAGACAAUACUGGUAAGAAAGCACAUGGAUUACGAAGAUGUGUAAACAAAAUAAUAAUUCUAAUUCUCAGACCUUGUUAAUAUCACCAGGUCUAAAGUAUGAAGCUCUGUUGACAGGAGGCCACUCAACAGCAUCUGAACUAUACGAUAUACCCGGGAAACCACUUCCAACAACACUAUACGGUUCAUCAUCGGCUCUGUUGAGCUCAUCCACUCGCCUGUCGAACUCCGGUUUAAGAGACUCAAGCUCAUUGAUUACAGCGCGAAGCCUCUGUUGCACAAAGAAGUCCAAUAGCUGAAUGUUUCUAGCAGACUUCAAUAGCAGAUAGUCCCAUGGGUUUCCUAUAUCCUUUGAUGCCCAUUUUGCGUCUCACGCUAUUCACCAUCUCCCACAUCCCAGCGUCAGCAUAUAUGUUAGAAAGCAAGACGUAGACGCUUGAUUCGUUGGAUCCCAUGGAUAAGAGCUUCUCUGCUAUUUCUUCUGCUAACUCAACUUUUUUAUGGAUUCUACAAGCAUUCAGAAGAGCUCCCCAAGCACUAGCCAUUGGUUCCACAGGCAUGUUAUCAAUAAAAGACUUAGCUUCCCCAAUUUCACCACCUCGACCUAGCAAAUCUACCAUACACGCGUAAUGCUCUUCCUCUGGUGCAAUCCCGUAGUCUCUUGUCAUCGACACAAACUGCUUCCGUCCUUCUUCGAUGUUUCCCGAAUGGCUACAGGCCGACAAAAGCGAGACAAAUGUCACAGAGUUUGGAGUUAGGUUCUGCGACUUCAUUUUACCAAAACAACCCAGCGCUUCCUCGAACUUACCGUUUAUCCCAAAAGCAUUGACCAUAGAGCUCCAAGAUAUCACAUUCCUCUCUGGCAUCAUAUCGAAAACCUUCCUAGCCAUUUGAACGUUCCCGCAUCUAGCGUACAUGUCGAUGAAAGACGUAUAAUUCACAGCAUCCAUCUCAAUCCCAUUCCUUAUCAUGUGCCCAUGAACACUCUUCCCGUGCCUCUGAGACCCCAAGCUCGAGCAAGCAACAAGAACCGCCGCUAAAGUACAUUGAUUCGGAAGAACCCUUUCUCCCAGCAUCAUCUCCCUGAACAGAUCAAACGCUUCAACAGCUCUCUCGCAUUUAGCAAAUCCAGAAACCAGCGUUGUCCACAUCACCACAUUCUUAUCAACACUUUUUUGAAACAGCUCUCUAGCAUCGUCCAACAACCUGCAUUUCACAUACAUAUCUACAACAGAGGCUUGUAGAUAGCCACUCUGAUCUAUAAACCCCCUUCUGAUGGAUAAACCGUGCACCGACUUGCCUUCUCUACCGGCAAAGACGUUCCCACAAGCCUUCACCAAACAUAUCAACGUAAGCGCGUUAUCGAUCCCCAAACCUCCCUCUCUCAUGAGAUAAAACAAACGAAACACUUCAGAGUCACUCGAGUAUCUCAAAUACCCUUUCAUCAAAACUCCCCAAAGCACCGAGCUUUUCAGAGUAAUUUCGUCGAACACCUUCCGCGCAUCUUCCACGCGACCAAACUCUCCGUACAUUUCGACCAAAGAGGGAGCCACGUAACCGUCCUUAUCCAACCCAUUCUUCACCGCCAAUCCGUGAACCAGAACCCCGUUCUCUAAAAACCCUAAACCGACGCAAGCUUUGAUCGCGAACACCAAGUUGAAACUGUCGACGUUACAAUCCUUCCUCAUGAGAUUGUAAAGACGUAAGCUUUCGCGGUGGUUCUUGGAUUUGGAGUGACCGGAGAGGAUCGUGUUCCAGGAGUAGCGGUUUCUCUUCCGGGGAGGGAUUCGAUGGAAGGAAGCGGCGGCGAGAUCGAGACGAUUGGAUUGGAUGUAAGAGUUGGUGAGGCUGGAUCCGAGAAGGACUUCUUCUUGGAGUCCGUGGAGUAUGACCUUGGCGUGAACUUGUUGUGUAUGGUGCAGCGCUUUGAUUUGGGUAAGGAUGGUUAGAAGAAGAGCGCUGGUUCUGUUCACCGGAAGCAUCAUCAUUGGCGAAGUAGAAGCGGCUAGCUAGGCCGUUUGGAAGCAGCGGUGAGAUGAGAUUCAAUACGUGUUCCAGUUCCUGCAAAGAGGUUCGUCAGAGUCAGAUCGAAACAGAUGUACCAACAUUCCGGGACAGGGAGGUUCGUGCCGCGGCUCACGUUAGUCUGAUUAUACACCCUGGUUACUUUUUUUCAAAUUUAAGGUAGUUAUUAAUUUAAUAAACACAACAAUGGGUUUUGUUUUGUGUAUUGGUUCUAUAUUUAAAGCAGUUAUCAACUUCAAAAACAAAUGUAUGUAUUCGUCAUUAACUUCAUAAAAGCUGCAAAAAAAAAGCUAGAUGAUGAGAUUAAUUAUUCUCUUAUUUGUAAAUUAAGGAACAACAUGUAUAACCACCAUUUUGGUUUAUAAAUUAUAAUAUUAUCUUUUAUGUUGAUCAUAUAAUUAUAUGUAAGCCUGGGUACCCGAGAUCCGGAUUUGAUCCGAGAUCCGCUCUGAAAAUAGGAUAUCUGGAGUAUCCGGAUCCGAAUCCGGAUAGUAAAAUAUUGGAUCCGUGCAAACUGAAUCCGGAUACGGAUAUCUUAAUUUUUAGGUCCGGAUAUUAAUUUAUUAAUAUUUUUAAAUUAUUUUUAAAACACAUUAAUUUUUUUUAUUUUAUUAAUAUUUAUAUUUGAUAUAUUAAUAUUUAUACAUGAAUUAAUCUUAUAAUAUUAUAUUUUAGUUUUUAAAAUAUUAUAAACAUAUAUAAAUAUAUUUAUAAAUCUUGUAUAUAAAUAUUUAAUUUAGGUAUUAUAUUAAAAAAAUUGGUAUUUUAAAAAAAAAUUGUUAUUUUUAAUUAUUUUUACGGAUCCGGAUCCGGAUAUCCGCGGAUAAUAGAAUAUCGAGAUGGACAUCCAAAAUCCGGAUAUUAAAUCUACGGAUCUGACGGAUCCGGAUCUGGGUACCAUAAAUUUCAUUUCCCGGAUACGUGGAUCGGUCCCAGGCCUAGGUACUGGUAUAUAUAAUUGUGAUACUUACAUUUGACGUACGAGGAUAGCUGUUGGGUGUUGGCUUGUUUAUUUCGACUAGGUGUUGGCUUGUUUAUUUCGACUAGGCUUGCAUGAUAAACCCUAUUCUUGUAUUCAAACAAUUCAAGCAGAAUAUAUAGGAUAAAUACCUACUUAAACCAUUAUUAGAGUAGAAAAAGAUUCGAUAUAUUAAUUAAAAAUCUAAAAUGGUUUCGAUACGUAGUUUCCAAGGAAGCAAUUCUGCAAAUGGACAAGGAGAAAUCUCCUGCAGUGGAGCAACAAUUUCACCUGCAGGAUGGUAUGAUCUUUUCCCAAAAAUACUUCCCUAUCAUUUUUUAUUCUUCUUCUUCUUAUCUUUACUAGUAGACACGCAAAUAGAUUAUGCCAACAGUCUCAUAGUUGUAUGUAUAUGCCACGCCUCUUGAGGAUUUUAACUGCUACUUGAUUAAUUGUGUUUCCCUUAUUUGACAGCAUUAAUUAAAUGACGCACUGAAGGAGGAAGUUCAACAUCUUAAUUAAGGUAUUAACGGGGCGAGGUGUUUCUAAUGGUGCAUCAUCAGUAAUGAAUUAUUAUGGUUCUUUUGGAUCAUCAAACCAGCAAUUCUAUCCCAAUAAUCAGGUCGAUCCACACUAUGCAAGCUGCACAACAGUUCCAGCAGCUCCAAAUCCAUUCACAGAAUUAGAGUUGGACAUCUUUUUAAAUAUUAGGCAUUCCUUCGUAUAAUAUCCAAUGUGGGAUUUUGUUUGAUAUUUCACAACAACAACAGCAACAGCCGAGAAGGCCUAUGUCUUCUUCGGGUCAGAAAGAGAGUGUGACAUCGCCUGAUCUUGAGUCUCCCUCAACAAAAGACUGAAGAGUGUUGACUGUUGUGUUUGGUGAGAUGCUCUUGGAAAAUCUCCUUUCUCUCUUUCCUGUUACAAAGCUGUGGCGUUUUCUCCCCCGAUCAGAUAGAUGCUCAUGGGUUCUAGAGUUAAAAACAAGACACCUUUACAAGUUGUUAGCGAAGCCUUUUUGUCUGUAGUCUCUUUUAACCAUAUUUAAAUUUUUUUGACUUUUGUUAUUCGAAACGUCUCUCGUUUGGUUUUGGAUUUGAAGCUUGUUAAAUCAGUUAAGAAUCUAUAAUUCAUGGGUUCUAUUUCUAUAUAAAGAAACAUAAACGAUCAUUACAAAGAGGAAAGAGUUUCCCAAGAACAUGGAUUACAUCAAUCUUCAGGAACUGAACCGAACCAAGCAGAACUGGUCUUUAACAAUAUUCAUCUCCUGAAAACAGCAAAAGCCGAAACCAUUUCCAGCCAUAUAUUAGUAACCUUUUAUACAUCUUUGUUGGAGUUCAAACAGAUGGAGACCAACUUCACUUGAUUCUCGAGUCUUUGCACUAUAGUAGUACAGGUAAAUUUGAAAUACAUAUAAAAUACAUCAUUUCAAGCAAACCAGGCUUUGAAUGGUAUAAUACGAAUAUGUAAAGUAGUAUAUUCGUUUUUGGAGUCAAUAUCAUAUUAACACAAAUCAUAAUCACUCAAGUUUGGCUCUCAGCCACUUGGUAGGGUCUUCAACAUAUUAAUAUUUUUGUAAUCUGAUCUCUCUGAGGUUUAAAAUAGAAACAUGGCUGUGACUGGGUAAGUGGAAUGGUUUUAGCGGAGGUCGAGGACUUCGUAUUUGAGCUUGGCGUUGAGGAAGACGUGUGAGCAAUGCUCGUAGAUUGGGUUACCGUCUUCUGACUCUUCGUGCGGGUGGAAGCCUCGCUGCUGGCAGUUACGGAUCACUGAUACUCCUGAUGGAUCCGACAGAUGGAAUAUUCCGUGAGGUGUUGUUUCGUCUGUUGGAGCCAUCACGAUUGCAACUGCCUCCGGGAGCAUUAUCUGCCGGAGAUUAAAGAUAUGUAUGUGGUGGACCAUAUGGUUACAUAUAAAUGUGUACAAG